CCAAUAGCGUAUAUUAAAGUUGUUGCAGUUAAAAAGCUCGUAGUUGAAUUUCGGGGUUAGUAGGCUGGUCAUGCCUCUGGUAUGUACUGGUCUCACUGAUUCCUCCUUCCUGAUGAACCGUAAUGCCAUUAAUUUGGUGUUGCGGGGAAUUUGGACUGUUACUUUGAAAAAAUUAGAGUGUUUAAAGCAAGCUAACGCUUGAAUACAUUAGCAUGGAAUAAUGAAAUAGGACGUUCGAUCCUAUUUUGUUGGUUUCUAGGAUUGACGUAAUGAUUAAUAGGGAUAGUUGGGGGCAUUAGUAUUCAAUUGUCAGAGGUGAAAUUCUUGGAUUUAUUGAAGACUAACUACUGCGAAAGCAUUUGCCAAGGAUGUUUUCAUUAAUCAAGAACGAAAGUUAGGGGAUCGAAGACGAUCAGAUACCGUCGUAGUCUUAACCAUAAACUAUGCCGACUAGGGAUCGGAUGAUGUUAAUUUUUUAAUGACUCAUUCGGCACCUUACG
rnacentral:rRNA from 1 species